UACGUAGGUGGCAAGCGUUGUCCGGAUUUAUUGGGUUUAAAGGGUGCGUAGGCGGCUUUGUAAGUCAGGGGUGAAAUCCUGGAGCUCAACUCCAGAACUGCCUUUGAUACUGGCGAUCUCGAGUCCGGGAGAGGUGAGUGGAACUGCGAGUGUAGAGGUGAAAUUCGUAGAUAUUCGCAAGAACACCAGUGGCGAAGGCGGCUCACUGGCCCGGUACUGACGCUGAGGUGCGAAAGCGUGGGGAGCAAACAGG
rnacentral:rRNA from 1 species